rnacentral:rRNA from 1 species
UACGGGGGGGGCAAGCGUUGUUCGGAAUUACUGGGCGUAAAGGGCUCGUAGGCGGCCAACUAAGUCAUACGUGAAAGCCCAGGGCUCAACCCUGGAAUUGCAUUCAAGACUGCCUUGCUUGAAUUCGGUAGAGGUUGGUGGAAUUCCCAGUGUAGAGGUGAAAUUCGUAGAGAUUGGGAAGAACACCCGUGGCGAAGGCGGCCAACUGGACCGACAUUGACGCUGAGGCGCGAAAGCGUGGGGAUCAAACAGG